rnacentral:rRNA from 1 species
GAUGAACGCUAGCGGCAGGCUUAACACAUGCAAGUCGUGGGGCAGCAUAAGGGUAGCAAUACUCUGGUGGCGACCGGCAAACGGGUGCGGAACACGUACGCAACCUUCCUCAAAGCGGGGGAUAGCCUCUCGAAAGAGAGAUUAAUACCCCAUAGUAUCUUGAAACUGCAUGGUUUUAAGAUUAAAGCUCCGGCACUUUGAGAUGGGCGUGCGGCUGAUUAGGUAGUUGGUAGGGUAACGGCCUACCAAGCCAACGAUCAGUAGCUGAUGUGAGAGCAUGAUCAGCCACACGGGCACUGAGACACGGGCCCGACUCCUACGGGAGGCAGCAGUGAGGAAUAUUGGUCAAUGGAGGCGAACUCUGAACCAGCCAUGCCGCGUGAAGGAUGAAGGUCCUCUGGAUUGUAAACUUCUUUAUU